UACGAGUGCCCCAAGCGUUAUCCGGAAUCAUUGGGCGUAAAGGGUGUGUAGGUGGUUUCUCUAGUCUUCUGUUAAAACCUCGGGCUCAACUCGAGAAUUGCAGAGGAAACGGGGAGACUUGAGGGUGCGAGGGGUGAAUGGAACUCAUGGAGUAGGGGUGAAAUCCGUUGAUAUCAUGGGGAACACCAAAAGCGAAGGCAAUUCACUGGCGCACUUCUGACACUGAAACACGAAAGCGUGGGUAGCGAACGGG
rnacentral:rRNA from 1 species